rnacentral:snRNA from 1 species
GUGCUCGCUUCGGCAGCACAAAUACUAAAAUUGGAACGAUACAGAGAAGAUUAGCAUGGCCCCUGCACAAGGAUGAUGCGCAAAUUCGUGAAGCGUGCCAUAUUUUU